AUGAACGUUGGCGGUGCGCCUAAUACAUGCAAGUCGCGGGGUCUGGAGCAAUCCAGACACCGGCAAACGGGUCCGUAACACGUUGGAACCUGCCCUGAAGUGAGGGAUAACCCCGAGAAAUCGGGGCUAAUACCGCAUAUGGCUGCAAGGUUAAAGCAGCAAUGCGCUUCAGGAGGGGCCUGCGUCCUAUCAGCUUGUUGGCGAGGUAAUGGCUCACCAAGGCUUUGACGGGUAGCUGGUCUGAGAGGAUGAUCAGCGACAGGGGGACUGAGACACGGCUCCCACUCCUACGGGAGGCAGCAGUAAGGAAUCUUUCGCAAUGGGGGAAACCCUGACGAAGCGACACCGCGUGAAGGAUGAAGCCCGGAAGGGUGUAAACUUCUUUUUUGAGGGAAGAAUUUUGACGGUACCUCAAGAAUAAGCACCGGCUAACUCUGU
rnacentral:rRNA from 1 species